rnacentral:tRNA from 1 species
GUCCAGGGGCGGGAAUCGAACCCACAAUCUUCUGCUUACCGGGCAGGUGCCAUGUCCACUAGGCUACCCUGGA